rnacentral:rRNA from 1 species
GAUGAACGCUAGCUACAGGCUUAACACAUGCAAGUCGAGGGGAAACGAUAUUGGAAGCUUGCUUCUGAUAGGCGUCGACCGGCGCACGGGUGAGUAACGCGUAUCCAACCUGCCCAUCACUUGGGGAUAACCUUGCGAAAGUAAGACUAAUACCCAAUGACGUCUCUAGAAGACAUCUGAAAGAGAUUAAAGAUUUAUCGGUGAUGGAUGGGGAUGCGUCUGAUUAGCUUGUUGGCGGGGUAACGGCCCACCAAGGCGACGAUCAGUAGGGGUUCUGAGAGGAAAGGUCCCCCCACAUUGGAACUGAGACACGGUCCAAAACUCCUACGGGAGGCAGCAGUGAGGAAUAUUGGUCAAUGGACGAGAGUCUGAACCAGCCAAGUAGCGUGCAGGAUGACGGCCCUAAUGGGUUGUAAACUGCUUUUAUAAGGGAAUAAAGUGAGUCUCGUGAGACUUUUUGCAUGUACCUUAUGAAUAGGACCGGCUAAUUCCGUGCCAG